UACGUAAGGUGCAAGCGUUAAUCGGAAUUACUGGGCGUAAAGCGUGCGCAGGCGGUUUUGUAAGACAGGCGUGAAAUCCCCGGGCUCAACCUGGGAAUGGCGCUUGUGACUGCAAAGCUGGAGUGCGGCAGAGGGGGAUGGAAUUCCGCGUGUAGCAGUGAAAUGCGUAGAUAUGCGGAGGAACACCGAUGGCGAAGGCAACCCCCUGGGCCUGCACUGACGCUCAUGCGCGAAAGCGUGGGGAGCAAACAGGAUUAGAAACCCCGAGU
rnacentral:rRNA from 1 species